GAUGAACGCUGGCGGCGUGCCUAAUACAUGCAAGUCGAGCGAACAGGUGAGGCGCUUGCUCCUCUGACGUUAGCGGCGCACGGGUGAGUAACACGUGGAUAACCUACCUAUAAUAGUGGUAUAACUUCGGGAAACCGGAGCUAAUACCGGAUAAUAUAUUGCAGCGCAUGGUUCAAUGGUGAAAGACGGUUUUUCUGUCACUACUCGAGGGAUAUGGGCCGCAUUAGAUAGUUGGUGAGUUAAAGGCUUAUCACGGCGAGCAUGCGUAGCCGACGUGAGAGGCGGAUAGGCGACAUGGGAGGGGAGCCACGGUCCAUACGCCUAAGGGAGGCACCAGUAGGCAACCGUCCGCAAUAGUCGAAAGCAUGGCGGAGCAACGCGACGUCAGUUACGAAGGUCUCCGGAUCGUAAUACUCUGCUAUGAGGUAUGAACAACUGUGUAAUUAGACAUAGCCGUAGUGACGGUAAUUAAUCAGAAAGCACCGGCUAACUACGUG
rnacentral:rRNA from 1 species